UACGUAGGGUGCGAGCGUUAAUCGGAAUUACUGGGCGUAAAGCGUGCGCAGGCGGUUCGUUAAGUCAGAUGUGAAAGCCCCGAGCUCAACUUGGGAACUGCAUUUGAAACUGGCGGGCUGGAGUGUGGCAGAGGGGGGUGGAAUUCCACGUGUAGCAGUGAAAUGCGUAGAGAUGCGGAGGAACACCGAUGGCGAAGGCAGCCCCCUGGGCCAACACUGACGCUCAGGCACGAAAGCGUGGGGAGCAAACAGG
rnacentral:rRNA from 1 species